rnacentral:rRNA from 1 species
UACGUAGGGGGCAAGCGUUGUCCGGAAUCAUUGGGCGUAAAGAGCGUGUAGGCGGCCUGAUAAGUCGGUUGUGAAAGUCAAGGGCUCAACCCUUGAAUGCCGGCCGAUACUGUCAGGCUAGAGUCCGGAAGAGGCGAGUGGAAUUCCUGGUGUAGCGGUGAAAUGCGCAGAUAUCUGGAGGAACACCGGUGGCGAAGGCGGCAUCCUGGACCAACACUGACGCUGAGGAGCGAAAGCCAGGGGAGCAAACGGG